GAUGAACGCUUGCGGCAGGCUUAAUACAUGCAAGUCGAGGGGCAGCGCAGUGUAGCAAUACAUGGGCGGCGACCGGCAAACGGGUGCGGAACACGUACACAACCUUCCUACAAGUGGGGAAUAGCCCAGAGAAAUUUGGAUUAAUACCCCGUAACAUAGCGAUGUGGCAUCACAUUGCUAUUAUAGCUUCGGCGCUUGUUGAUGGGUGUGCGGCUGAUUAGAUAGUUGGCGGGGUAACGGCCCACCAAGUCUACGAUCAGUAGCUGAUGUGAGAGCAUGAUCAGCCACACGGGCACUGAGACACGGGCCCGACUCCUACGGGAGGCAGCAGUAAGGAAUAUUGGACAAUGGACGCAAGUCUGAUCCAGCCAUGCCGCGUGAAGGAUUAAGGUCCUCUGGAUUGUAAACUUCUUUUAUAAGGGACGAAAAAAGGUCUUUCUAGAUCGUCUGACGGUACCUUACGAAUAAGCACCGGCUAACUCCGUGCCAGCCGCCGCGGUAACAC
rnacentral:rRNA from 1 species